UGACCUGGAAUUGAGGUGAACCAAAGUUUUUAUCUAUACUAUAAAGAUCAAAAACAAUUGAAAACUUUUCUCACCCAAAUCGGGCCCACCGUACCCCUCACGCCGGACCCGUAUGCCAGAGCCAAGGGAGGUGGAGACCCAUAAAAAUCACAUAUUAGAGAGCGUUUCUGCCAAAAAUCAAUUCUUUUUUUCACCCGAUGUUCCCCUACCCGCCCACGCAUACCCACCCAAUCCUCAUCCUGUCCUCUGUGGCCCCGAGACGCCGGUGCGGGCAUUCCUCGAUGGCGGCCGCGUGCGGGUGCUGGCCAUCGACGGCUCUGGUGCGGGCGCCGAGGACGCUCUCCUGGCCGCCGCAGCGCUCGCGAGGCUCGAUCCGGGGCUGCGGGAGAAAGCCAUGGACCCCGUCGCGCGUGUCGCCGUCUUCUUCGACUUGGCUGCGGCCGCCGGCGCGGGGGCUUGCUGACCGUGAUGCUGUUCCUCAGAGGCCCCACAAUCGGCCGCAGUAUUCGGCCCAUGAGGCGCUCGCGUUCGUGGUCGCGAGCAUCGGGAGAAAGGGCUAGGGCGGCCGGCGCGAGCGGCGAGCAGAGGGUGCUGAUGACCUUGGCAGUGAGGUCAGUUUGUUCUUGCCUAUUUGCGGACCCUUGUUUUUCCCAGCGGUGGGACCUCGUUCCGGGUUGCUGAUGACCUUGGCAAUGGCGGAUUUCCUUUCCGUCUGCUGGCUUUACGGGCUGGUGGUGGCGGAUUAUUUCUUCCUCUUCCUUCUCGGGUGAUGCGAUGGCCGAUGAUCCUAAAUGAAAUUGAUGUGCCGCAAUUGGUUUGGCUGCUGGCCGAUGAUCCUUCUCGAUGGGCGCCGAGAAUAGGCUAGCAGCAGCACCCUGGUUGCGAACGUCCAAAGCACGAAUGCUUCGAACUUGAUGCAACAAUUGACAUCUCAAUUCUCACGAGUCAAAGAUUUGGUCUGUCCUGCUGUGUCUUCAUUGGUGUUACUUGGGAAGGUACCAACUUAACCAAGGAGACCAACUUGAGGUACAGGAAGCCUGCAACAUUGAGGAUUCUGGUGAUAGUAGUCAAGGGAACACUCUGAGAUCAGAAGCAGGUUCCAUUUAAAUGUUGUUCACCAUCUGUGUGCAACUCACAAUUGAGGAUUAUCAUAGAAUCGCUGUCAAUGGUCUGACCUGUUCCUCUUGCUCCCUUUUCAAUGCUCUUGGCGGUUUUAGGGCUCAAGCUGCCAAUGGUCGAUGAACACCACCAAUGUAGGUCGACUUGUUGAUCAAAUUUAUUAAGAUGAAUCUAUGAUUUUAAUCUAAGUUGCAAUCCUCUUGUUUUAAUCUGAGUAAUCUCAGAUGCUUUUAUUGAGAUGCAUCUAUGAUUUUGGAGAUAAAUGUAUGGCUUUUAUUUUGCAUAUUGCAGGUGGUACCAAAUUGCUUAAUGCUAAUAUUGUUGGUUAGUUGUCUUGCUAAACUGAUGCAAACAUGUUGCCUCUGCUCAGGUCUAUUUUUUUUAAUGUGUCAUUUAAUACAUAAAGCAUUUCAAAAUAAUAUCAUAGUAAAAUAGUAAAUUGUCAUUAGCAGUUUUGAAUAUCCACAUCAGCACCAUGUGGUCAGGGAGGACAGGUUUUUUUUCUUUGUCACCAAACAGAUAUGCUCGUUUUUAUUUCCAAACAGAUUAAUCCUAUCUUGGUGAUAUUCAAUGCAUAUAUUAUAUGGAAGAAAUAAUCUAUUCAUCAGCAAUAUGUUGUUUAUUCUUGUUUAAUAGCACCUUAAAUUCAGAAACAUUACUGACAUAAUGCAAUGUUUCAGAUUGUUCAACUAACAGUUCUGUUCAAUCGAGAUGUUUCCAGUUUGCAAAAUUAAUUAGAGAAAUCAUGCUGCAAUACAAAUGUUGAUAAUUUUUUUAUAUAAAUUUGGUCAAAUUUAAAAUUGUUUAACUCCUCGGAAGCGAGAUUUGCAUUAUUUUGAAACAGAGUAUAUGUUUCGGUUUGUACUUAUGAGUCAUGACAUGUUUUCGAGCGGUUUGUACUCGUAACUUUAUUUGUGGUCUUAUGUGGUUCAAUUGCACUUAGGCUGAAAUUUUCAUCUACUAGAAUAUUUGAAAAUGCAUUCUUGACCCACAUACAUCUUUAGUAUAAAUCAAUGUUUUAAAUAGCGGGCUAUAAAUUGGAGAAUGUGCCCAACUGGAUCGGCCAGUGCCGCGAGCCCGUUCGCCCCUUUGGCGUGUUUACCGAAAUGUGCACUCGUGUCUUUACUGUAUGUGCAUUGUGUAUGGACGUGAUUUUUCUUUGUUUGUUCUUCCAUAAAACAAUGCACGAUACAUUUGAGGUACAGCUUAGAUUUUGUUGCCUGGCAGUAUUAUGCAGAAAAGAGGCGCUUAUCAUCCAGUUCAGCAGGGGACGAUGCUGGUGAUCCGAGCAUAGUGGAGAUGCUGGUGCGCCAUGGCCUCACCAAGAGGACUCCUAUGAUGACAAGCACAUGAAUCUUGUGUUUUAGGAAUUUUUGUUUGGUUUACUUAUCACCUUUUUUGCUUAAAAAUAUUUCUAUGCAAGAGUAUAGUAGCAUGAUAACCAGAAGCGCUAUGAGGAUGAAAGACUGGUAGGAGUAUAUAUAGCCUCCGAGCUUGCAAGUGCGGACUGGGAACCAUGAUGACAAUAGUAGUGACCUGGUUAGGGAAGAUCCAGUUGGCUCAUUUUUUCUAUGUCCAUACUCAGGUUCAUCCUCAGUAAAAAAAAAUUGUCAAUAGUGCAUAGAGCACCAAAGUGUUGAAGUAGCGAAUUUGAGGAAAGAAAGAAGUAACAGAGUAGCUUUCUUGUUGCUGGUUGAUGAAAAUGCAGCUUCCAAUCCAGGUUGCCUACACUGACGCUGAGGAAAAUGAUUUGGCCACUUAGAAAGUUGUACAGUAUAAUUUCAUAUAAGAAUAAGAACCCGUGAAAAUGAUCUCAUAAAAGUGAAAAUGCUACAUUUCAUAUAUUAAUUGAAUCUCAGUAUUUAUACUGAAUAAUAUUUCUAUAUA